AGAGUGAACGCUGGCGGCAGGCCUAAUACAUGCAAGUCGAACGGCAGCACGGCAGAGCUUGCUCUGUGGGUGGCGAGUGGCGGACGGGUGAGGAAUACAUGGGAAUCUGCCCAGUCGUGGGGGAUAACGUAUGGAAACGUACGCUAAUACCGCAUGCGCCCGUUCGGGGGAAAGCCGGGGACCUUCGGGCCUGGCGCGAUUA
rnacentral:rRNA from 1 species